rnacentral:rRNA from 1 species
UACAGAGGUCUCAAGCGUUGUUCGGAUUCAUUGGGCGUAAAGGGUGCGUAGGCGGCGCGGUAAGUCGGGUGUGAAAUCUCGGAGCUUAACUCCGAAACUGCAUUCGAUACUGCCGUGCUUGAGGACUGGAGAGGAGACUGGAAUUUGCGGUGUAGCGGUGAAAUGCGUAGAUAUCGUAAGGAAGACCAGUGGCGAAGGCGGGUCUCUGGACAGUUCCUGACGCUGAGGCACGAAGGCCAGGGGAGCAAACGGG